rnacentral:rRNA from 1 species
UGGGGAAUUUUGGACAAUGGGCGCAAGCCUGAUCCAGCAAUGCCGCGUGCAGGAUGAAGGCCUUCGGGUUGUAAACUGCUUUUGUACGGAGCGAAAAGGUCUGCCCUAAUACGGUGGGCUCAUGACGGUACCGUAAGAAUAAGCACCGGCUAACUACGUGCCAGCAGCCGCGGUAAUACGUAGGGUGCGAGCGUUAAUCGGAAUUACUGGGCGUAAAGCGUGCGCAGGCGGUUAUAUAAGACAGAGGUGAAAUCCCCGGGCUCAACCUGGGAAUUGCCUUUGUGACUGCAAGGCUUGAGUGCGGCAGAGGGGGAUGGAAUUCCGCGUGUAGCAGUGAAAUGCGUAGAUAUGCGGAGGAACACCGAUGGCGAAGGCAAUCCCCUGGACCUGUACUGACGCUCAUGCACGAAAGCGUGGGGAGCAAACA